CCCAAGGAACUUCUCCAGCAUGAUGGUUUUCUUCAGGUACUGUGUACCAAGACAUUCUCAGGCCUACUGAAUUAAAAAUGAGGAACAGGGGCACCUGACCGGCUCAGCCGGAAGAGCACAUGAGUCUUGACCACAGGGAUCAAAGUGACCUGUUAACUCAGAAGUGUGCAGAAGUUCUCUGGUGAGGAACAGCUGUGGCUGUUCAUGCUGGAAACUCUGCUUUGGUAACUCUGCUUUAGUAACUCUUCAUCAUGGCCAUUCACCUGGCUUCACCUGCACCCCAUUCACAGGAGUGAAUGGCGCUGAACAUUUAAGAACAUCAGAGGAGCUUGCCAGCAAGUCUGUGAACACAGCCGAUGACACAAUUUCUUUAAAAGGCACGAAGGGUCAUGUAUUCACAUUUGUAUUGCAUUUGGUGGAAUAUCCAAGAAAAAGAUUUAUUUUCAGAGUAGGUGCUAUCUCUUACUCAGCAUGCUUCAGAGAGUUUUCUUUCCAGUUUUAGAAACAGAAAAAGCAACACUAACCAAACCAACUACAACAGCUGUUAUUGGUUGAGCAGUA